GGAGAAGUGGGUGAGGACCCCAGGCCCUCACAUCCUUGGCAGUCACGCAGGAGAACUAAUCCCCUUGCUCAUAACGCUAAGGAUGGGCUGCCCAGUCCAGCAGUCUCACUAAAGAGAAGCAGCACCAGUUUUCCUUGAACUAAGAUGUGACCGAGCAUUCUCUCACUGGUCUCUGUGAAAGAAAAGAUGGAUAGUGACAUUUCCUCGGGAUACAGAAAUAGUUUGCAAAGCAGGAGCAUGCCCCAGCAUCCUGAGAUGCUGGUCACAGACUCAGCAUCAACAGAGAAUUCAGCAGCGGCAUCUCAGACAUCCCUAAGUCAGGUGGGAGGCGGCACACCCUGAUGCAUUGCCCAGGGUGAGACAAGCUAACCAUGGGUAAGACUCUCCCCCAAACUCCUGGUCCUGCUCAACCCUCCACCAAGGACCUGGUACUGGCACAGAACACAGAGGCCAGGCUGGCAGCUACAGCCCUGGCACUGGAGACAUCCACUCCACGUGGGCGAGCAGCAUCCAGGCUGCCAGGAUGGAAAGGCCUCACUCAGUAGAGCCCAGGGUGGCUGGUGGUGAAGCCCCAGGGGUCUCCUAAGGAGGCAGUUAACAUUCAAGAGAGAAUACAGAAGCAUCUUGGGGUUUAAACCAAGCACCCUGAGAGGGUCUGAGCAGCCAGCCUCUCCCUGGGAAUUCUUCAGCAGGCUGAACGCUCCCACUCGUCAGCCCUGGGGGUACAGCUGCUCUGUGUGCGGCUCUGCACCUUGCUUGCAUCUGUUUCUGCAGUUGCAGGAAGCGUGAGUGUUUACAAAGUUUGACUGCAGACAGCAUCUAGUUCCACUUGGGUACUUCAAAAUGAACUUAGUGUUGACCUUGCCAUCUCCAAGCUCAGGAGGAUGGGGAGCCGUUCAUUGGUUCAUCCACUUGACACAGGUACUUUUUUUUGUUGUUGUUUUGUUUUUUGAGACAGGGUUUCUCUGUGUAAUAAUCCUGGCUGUCCUGGAACUCCACUCUGUAGACCAGGCUGGCCUCGAACUCCCAGAGAUCCAACUGCCUCUGCUUCCCAAGUGCUGGAAUCAAUGGCAGAGACUCAUAUCCUUUCAAGUGUCUGUUAGGUUCUAAAUUCUGUGCUGGGGUUGGAUGUGGCUCAAAAUGGCUAAGGGACAUGCUCAAAGCCAUGAGCAUCAGGCUUGGAAUCCAGUUGUUUUGCUUAGACAACAGAGGAAGGAGGUGAGAGCCCUCCCCUGUCACCUCUCCCGAGUGUACCCAAUGAGGAGGGCUGACAAGACACAGAGGAGAGCCACUGACUCUGAGACAAGCCAGGCAUGUCAGUUUGGGAGGUAGAAGCAGGAGUUAUUGUGAGUUCAAGGUCAACCUCAGCUACAUGGUGAGUUCAAGGCCAACCUGGCCUAUUGCUCUCUCUCUCCUGCCCCUACCUUCCCUUCCCUCUCCUUCUUCUUCUCCCUGCCCCACCAGAAGUAACUAAAUAAAAAUAAAUUUCUUGUUUGUUUUUAAUGAAACCUACCACCCACCACUGGGUAAAUUCCAAGAGUAGAGACCCUCCUAAGAUACUUUUCAGAUUCCUUUUUUUCUUUUUACUUAAAAGUGUACCGUUUAUUUAUUCAUGAAUAUGGUCCUGGAAAGAGAUGGUAACAGCCAAGUAUGGGAGCCAGGACUACAUAGUGAGAUCCUUGGGUUUUUGUUUUUUGGGUUUUGUUUUGUUUUGUUUUUCAAAACAGGGUUUUCUCUUCGUAGCCCUGGCUGUCCUGGAACUCACUGUGUAGGCAAGGCUGCCUCAGAGAUCUGCUUGGGAUUAAAGAUGUGUGCCACCACGCUCAGCCGAGACCCUUGUCUUAGAAAACCAAACAAAAGAGGAGGUAACUGUGGAGGUUCAGGACUGAUAGAGCCAAGGGCUUAAACAAAUGGCUGGUGGGGGCAUCACGAUUCCAUGUUGUUUCUUGUCUGCAUUAACCUAAGGCUCAUUUCCUCCAGGGCCCCGCACCGCUAGCUCCUUCUUCUCAGGCUCCUAUAAAAAUGACGCACACCCUGUCCUGUAUACACUCACAUACACCCUCAGGCCUCUGUUGUUUGUCCCGUGGCCUGUUCCCUCCCAUCUCUACUCCAUCCCAAUAACACCCCAGGACCUCAGCGUCCCAAACCUCCGCCAGAACGUUAUUUCACAAGGACACUUGCCAACCUUGAAAGACAAGGUACCCGGAGGCAAGGAAAUAAAGUGAUCUUUCUAGUUGAACAGUGCGAGAGUGCAGCGCCAUCUGGUGGUGCUGCAGCUCACUGCUCCCAGGCGGUGACAUUUUCAGACAAUCAAUAUCUCAUUAUUAACCAUAAUCACAACCUGAUGUUUACUUUUGGAGACGUGUUCUGGCAAGGGACACACAUGCACUUUUCUGCAUGAUUCCGAGGCCUGCGAUCCUAAAUGCCACAAUGACUAUUAAACAGUGUCCUGCCAGUAAGCAAACAGGAGGGAGCCGAGAUUGACGGUCUUUCUUUUUCAUCUAAGCUGCUCACCAAAAACAAAGCAUCCGCUGAAGCCAGUGACCUUUCACUAACUGCUGGAAGGCAAGUGCUUGAUAAAUAAUAAAUGGACCCCUACUCGUUGUUGCUUGAAACCAUCUUUUAAUUAAAAGAAGCGAGCAGUGAGAAGGUCAGGUGACUGAUGUUUAAGUUCGAGUCUGGGGAAAGGCGUCAAUCAAGGGCAAAAUUAAGCUUGAAAUGCCAUGUGAUUGUCAGUUUAGCAAUUCGAAAACAACAACAAAAACUCCCUCUGCAGUCGCCGGCGGAGGGAAGCGAUGGCAGUCGAUGGUAACGUGUGCAGGGGACAUGACACCUCACUCUGUCUCCUUUCCCCGCCCCUAGCAACCUUCCACUGCGCCUCAGCAAUAGCCGGCCACCCGGCACCAUCUCCACAGAGACUGCUUGGGAGCUCGGCUCAUCCAAUCAGAGGCCAGCAUGCCACACUGAGCACUACCCUAGGACAGUGACAUGGAAGCCAUUUCUUGUCUUUUCCACAGGAGGGCAACUGCCCUUCCUCUGCCAGGCAAGGUGACCUCCACCGAGUGGCUCACUGAAACCCUGGCAGCCCACAGCCCAUCCGGCAGUGAUGCAGGAGAUGCUGGGGCCUGCCCCACCUCUGGAACAGACCUCAAGGGCACCGAGCAUGAAGAAAGUGAAAGCUCCCGCCUCCCUGCCCCGCCCUCACUCAACCACCUCUGGCUGAGGCAGAGCAGCUGCUCUCUGCUCUCCGGGCCUCAUCGUGCCAGAUGCCCUCACGCCAGGACAGACUCGGGAAAAGUGCCCGCCCAGCCCAGUGUCCUGUCAGGCGUGGCCACAGCACAUCUAAAGAGAAUGGACAAGGCCCAAGGACUCCCAGUGGGCCGCAUCUGGGUCCUCUGGAGCUAGGCAGGCACCAGUAGUAGCUCAGGGAAAACUUUAUCAACCCGCUUUAACGGCUGUGGUUUAAAAAAAAAAAAAAAAAAAAAAAAAAAGACCAGACUGGCUCAAACUUUCAGCAAUCCACCUGCCUCAGCUCCUAAGUGAUGGAUUAGAUAGACCUGCCUUCAGUUUCUUGCAUGCUGUGUGCUCAUGUGCAGGGGUAUGUGUGCAGACUGUGUAGAGGUGAGGGCAUUCACCGACUUGGCUCUCUCCUCAGUCCCUGGCUGAACUUUUGUUGUUGCCUUUCUCCUUCCUGUCCUUAACUGAGAACACUUCCCUGGCCAGA